rnacentral:lncRNA from 1 species
UUCUAGAAAAAAAAUAAAAAAAAAUUCACACCUUUAAAUCAAAAUUUAAUCCCAAUUAAUUAGAUUUAAUUCACAACAGACUCAAACGCGAUCAAAAAGAAAAUUUGACAGCAAAAGUACAACCUUCCUGCUAUUCUCAUCAUCAUCAACAACUCAUACACCAUACACAAUCCACAAUAAUCACAAUAAAAAACUCACCACCAUUUUUCCUUCAUGACAUUAACACACCAUUAGUAUCAACCAUAAAAU